GACGAACGCUGGCGGCGUGCCUAAUACAUGCAAGUAGAACGCUGAAGAGAGGAGUUUGCUCUUCUUGGAUGAGUUGCGAACGGGUGAGUAACGCGUAGGUAACCUGCCUUGUAGCGGGGGAUAACUAUUGGAAACGAUAGCUAAUACCGCAUAACAAUGGAUGACACAUGUCAUUUAUUUGAAAGGGGCAAUUGCUCCACUACAAGAUGGACCUGCGUUGUAUUAGCUAGUAGGUGAGGUAAUGGCUCACCUAGGCGACGAUACAUAGCCGACCUGAGAGGGUGAUCGGCCACACUGGGACUGAGACACGGCCCAGACUCCUACGGGAGGCAGCAGUAGGGAAUCUUCGGCAAUGGGGGCAACCCUGACCGAGCAACGCCGCGUGAGUGAAGAAGGUUUUCGGAUCGUAAAGCUCUGUUGUAAGUCAAGAACGGGUGUGAGAGUGGAAAGUUCACACUGUGACGGUAGCUUACCAGAAAGGGACGGCUAACUACGUG
rnacentral:rRNA from 1 species